AUCUCCGGCGGUUUCUCUUACCAACCGCCGCUGAAUGCCCUAAUUUUGGCUCCCCCCCUCUCGCUUUUCACUUUCCCUCUCGCUCAUUCUCUUUCCCUCUCACUUGUUUUCUCAAUUGAAUCCCAAAAACCAUCAAAGCCCUAAUUUCUAACUUCUGGACUCACUGCGUUUCAUCUCUGCUCAGGUUCGUUCCUCUCUUCUCUUCUCUUCUCUUCUCUUCUCUCCUCUUCUCUGAUUUAGGUUUUGCUUUUCAGAGUCGGUGGCCGUCUCGCACUCCAAGCUCCGAUUCGUUCUUCCAGGCUCUGAUUUGGUGUGUUGGUGGUGGUUGUCUCGCACUCAACAUCAUUGUUCCUCUUCCAGGCUCUGAUUUGGUGUUGGUGGUGGCCCUCUCGCACUCAACAUCAUUGUUUGGACGCCAG